rnacentral:misc_RNA from 1 species
AAGUUGUAACAAGGUUUCUGUAGGUGAACUUGCAUAAAGAUUAUUAGGUGAUAAUGGCUGUCCUUUAGGUGCCCAUCUGUCCAUCUUGCAUCUUGUCUCAUACAGAUUAUCCUGUUCAGGAGAUGAUUUUGUAUUGGAAAAAAAAUAAGGAAAAGAGAGAAAUCUCUUGUAUGCAUCUAUUGAAAUGUUGCUUUGGGAAAGUGAGUUUUUAAAGAAGCCCUUUUGAAGCUCCUUUCCAGAGUUUUGUUCUUACGCAUGCUUUAACUUUUAGGCUGAGAAAAAAAAUAUUAAUCCAAUACAACUUUCAACAACAGAUCUCUUGGCUCUU